rnacentral:rRNA from 1 species
AGCAGCCGCGGUAAUUCCAGCUCCAAUAGCGUAUAUUAAAGUUGCUGCAGUUAAAAAGCUCGUAGUUGAAUUUCGGGAUCAAUAUGUUGGUCGUGCCUUGGUACGUACUAGCUCAUUGGUUUCUCCCUUCUGACGAACCAUGAUGUCAUUAAUUUGAUGUCAUGGGGAAUCAGGACUGUUACUUUGAAAAAUUGAGUGUUUAAAGCAGGCUCGCGCUUGAAUACAUUAGCAUGGAAUAAUGAAAUAGGACAUUUGAUUCUAUUUUGUUGGUUUCUAGGAUCGAUGUAAUGAUUAAUAGGAUAGUUGGGGGCAUUAGUAUUCAAUUGUCAG